rnacentral:rRNA from 1 species
GAAUACCCGAGUAGCACCGGGCCCGUGAAAUCCGGUGUGAAUCUGUCGGGACCACCCGAUAAGCCUGAAUACUCCCUGGUGACCGAUAGCGGACUAGUACCGUGAGGGAAAGGUGAAAAGUACCCCGGGAGGGGAGUGAAAUAGUACCUGAAACCGUGCGCUUACAAUCCGUCAGAGCCUUCGAGCAGCUUGCUGCUGGGGGUGAUGGCGUGCCUUUUGAAGAAUGAGCCUGCGAGUUAGUGGCAUGUCGCGAGGUUAACCCGUGUGGGGUAGUCGUAGCGAAAGCGAGUCCGAAUAGGGCGUGUGUAGUGGCAUGUUCUAGACCCGAAGCGGAGUGAUCUACCCAUGGCCAGGGUGAAGCGAUGGUAAGACGUCGUGGAGGCCCGAACCCACUUAGGUUGAAAACUGAGGGGAUGAGUUGUGGGUAGGGGUGAAAGGCCAAUCAAACUCCGUGAUAGCUGGUUCUCCCCGAAAUGCAUUUAGGUGCAGCGUCGCGUGUUUCUCACCGGAGGUAGAGCUACUGGAUGGUCUAGGGGGCCCACAAGCUUACCGAAAUCAGCCAAACUCCGAAUGCCGGUGAGUGAGAGCGCGGCAGUGAGACUGCGGGGGAUAAGCUUCGUAGUCGAGAGGGAAACAGCCCAGAUCGCCGGCUAAGGCCCCUAAGCGUGUACUAAGUGGAAAAGGAUGUGGGAUCGCUGAGACAACCAGGAGGUUGGCUUAGAAGCAGCCACCCUUGAAAGAGUGCGUAAUAGCUCACUGGUCAAGUGGUUCUGCGCCGACAAUGUAGCGGGGCUCAAGUACACCGCCGAAGCCGCGGCACUCACA